rnacentral:rRNA from 1 species
CAAUAGCGUAUAUUUAAGUUGUUGCAGUUAAAAAGCUCGUAGUUGGAUUUCGGUUGAGAGCGGCCGGUCCGCCGUUUGGUGUGCACUGGCUGGUUUCAACUUCCUGUAGAGGACGCGCUUUGGGCUUAACGGUCUGAACGUGGAGUCUACGUGGUUACUUUGAAAAAAUUAGAGUGUUCAAAGCGGGCUUACGCUUGAAUAUUUCAGCAUGGAAUAAUAAGAUAGGACCUCGGUUCUAUUUUGUUGGUUUCUAGAGCUGAGGUAAUGAUUAAUAGGGAUAGUUGGGGGCAUUCGUAUUUAACUGUCAGAGGUGAAAUUCUUGGAUUUGUUAAAGACGGACUAUUGCGAAAGCAUUUGCCAAGGAUGUUUUCAUUGA